CCAGACUCCUACGGGAGGCAGCAGUGGGGAAUAUUGCACAAUGGGGGAAACCCUGAUGCAGCAACGCCGCGUGAGUGAAGAAGUAUUUCGGUAUGUAAAGCUCUAUCAGCAGGGAAGAAGAUGACGGUACCUGAUUAAGAAGCCCCGGCUAACUACGUGCCAGCAGCCGCGGUAAUACGUAGGGGGCAAGCGUUAUCCGGAUUUACUGGGUGUAAAGGGAGCGUAGACGGCAUAGCAAGUCUGAAGUGAAAGCCCAAGGCUCAACCAUGGGACUGCUUUGGAAACUGUGCUGCUGGAGUGCAGGAGAGGCAAGUGGAAUUCCUAGUGUAGCGGUGAAAUGCGUAGAUAUUAGGAGGAACACCAGUGGCGAAGGCGGCUUGCUGGACUGUAACUGACGUUGAGGCUCGAAAGCGUGGGGAGCAAACAGGAUUAGAUACCCGGGUAAAC
rnacentral:rRNA from 1 species